UGGGGCAGAAAGACGGCAGACACCUUUAAAGAAAGACAUCAGAAGAAGUCAAGAUGAUGAUGAUGAAGAGUCCGGUUAUUUUGGCGGCCUGCGUCCUGCUGCUCUCUGCUCUCACUGUCCACGCAUCUGAAAGUAAGGAGACUCUAUCUCAUGUUUUUUUUUUUUUUUUUUAACAUAAUUUAAUAUAAAAGGCAAAUUCACAUCAAACUUUAUGUAAUUUAGCCAUCAUAUCUCUCUCGGGAUGAGUAAAAUUUAAGAUUAAGAGAUCAAAACACUCCAAAAAAAUCUAAAUUACUGUUUUAAAACAAGAAAAAAAGUGGCCCCUGUAAAAUUUCAUGCUGUCUCUUUUUGAGAUAAAUUAUUUAAUUUAAGUGUAAGAAAACAACGAUUUUUGCUUUUUAAGUGUUAAACCUUACACUGUUGUCUUUAGUGUGUACCUAACGGGGAAAAAAAGACGCAAAAAGAGGACAAUUUAUGUUGGGUUUUGUGAAAACUGUAUAUGACCAUAACACGUCUGAUUUUCUCUUGUCUUCUCAGGCUCUUUUGGUCCUGAUGCGUGCUGUUUCAAGUACAUCUCCAACGCCCUGGCCAAGAAUAGGGUAGUGAGCUAUGAAUUCACAAACAGGCUGUGUCCAAAAAAAGCUGUGGUGUGAGUAUAACAACUCCUUUUACUGCACUUAAACUUACAAGUUCAAUCCAGACACUUAUAGUUUGAUUUUUUUGAAGUGAGGUUGUAUGAGGCUCGAUCAAGUUCCUUUUAGUUGAAUUACACACAGUCACUAUGUGCACUCGUGUUAACAUAGAUGCAGAUUUACUCAUGAAACGAGGAAAAAAGCAGUUAUGGUCUGAACUUCUCCUCUGAAAAUAGACACCUGAUUCUGCAAAAACUAAAGGUAUGAAUCAUGUCUCUGUUUCAGUUUGACGAUGAGGAAUGGCAAAGGGUACUGCACCAAUCCGUCUGAGCCGUGGGUGAUGGACAUCAUCGCAGCAAAAGACAAAGUGAAGGCCUAAAGAGCGAAAUAAACCAACUUGUAUUUUAUCACAUCCUGUUACCGCUCGCUUGGAAGCAAGCAGCAUAUAUGCUUCUAGAUAAACGGCAAAUGUCUCUUUUUUGUGGUCAGCUGCUUGUUGGUGUGUUGUAAGAAAAAUAUACUAAAAGAUGAUAUAAUGUGUGUGUCAGUUAAUCUUGUGAGCAUUGUUUUAUUUCUUAAUGUAAAAAAAGUAUAACUUUUAUUUCAAAUUUUUGUAUCCAUAAAAAAUAAACUUUUCUUCAACAAUAA